UUAACAAACCCAGCUCUAUAAAAAACACUCUGAAGCUUAUUAAGUGGCUUCAGAGAAGGAAACUGCUAAAAACAAAAAUGAAAUGCAGAAUAUGCCAUCAGAACAUGAAAAUGAAGAAAAGGGCAAACAGUGGAGAUCAACAUGCUUGGAUUUGUCAACAAGCAGUACAUGAGGGAAGGGCAAAACAAAUGUCUGUCAGGCACAAAUCAAUCUUCAGUGGAUCAAAGAUCUCCUUCAGCAAGUGGAUGCAGUUCAUGUACAGGUUUUGUCAGGGUCUACGGUUACGCCAGAUAGACAUGAUGGAUGACAGAAUUGCAAGUAGUUCAGCUACUCUUACUAAAAUGGCAAAGAAAAUAAGGGAGGUCUGUGUCACAGCAGUUGAAAGGAUGAGAAGGCGUACAGGCCAGCAAAUCGGUGGAAGAAGGGAGUUUGUUGUGAUCGACGAAAGCCAUUUUCGUCACAAAAGAAAGUAUGGUAAAGGAAGAAUGGCUGGAGGGUGGAAAAGAAAGAAGUGGGUUUUUGAGAUGUUAGGUGUGAAAUAUCAUCAGCAGCAAAAAUCUAGAAAACCUAUUCUAC